rnacentral:rRNA from 3 species
CCCAGACAGCCAGGAUGUUGGCUUAGAAGCAGCCAUCAUUUAAAGAAAGCGUAAUAGCUCACUGGUCGAGUCGGCCUGCGCGGAAGAUGUAACGGGGCUAAACCAUGCACCGAAGCUGCGGCAGCGACGCUGUGCGUUGUUGGGUAGGGGAGCGUUCUGUAAGCCUGUGAAGGUGUGUCGUGAGGCAUGCUGGAGGUAUCAGAAGUGCGAAUGCUGACAUAAGUAACGAUAAAGCGGGUGAAAAGCCCGCUCGCCGGAAGACCAAGGGUUCCUGUCCAACGUUAAUCGGGGCAGGGUGAGUCGACCCCUAAGGCGAGGCCGAAAGGCGUAGUCGAUGGGAAACGGGUUAAUAUUCCCGUACUUGGUGUUACUGCGAAGGGGGGACGGAGAAGGCUAUGUUGGCCGGGCGACGGUUGUCCCGGUUUAAGCGUGUAGGCUGGUUUUCCAGGCAAAUCCGGAAAAUCAAGGCUGAGGCGUGAUGACGAGGCACUACGGUGCUGAAGCAACAAAUGCCCUGCUUCCAGGAAAAGCCUCUAAGCAUCAGGUAACAUCAAAUCGUACCCCAAACCGACACAGGUGGUCAGGUAGAGAAUACCAAGGCGCUUGA